rnacentral:rRNA from 1 species
GAUGAACGCUGGCGGCGUGCUUAACACAUGCAAGUCGAACGGUGAAGCAGGAGCUUGCUCUUGUGGAUCAGUGGCGAACGGGUGAGUAACACGUGAGCAACCUGCCCCUGACUCUGGGAUAAGCGCUGGCAACGGCGUCUAAUACUGGAUAUGUGAUGUGACCGCAUGGUCUGCAUCUGGAAAGAAUUUCGGUUGGGGAUGGGCUCGCGGACUAUCAGCUUGUUGGUGAGGUAAUGGCUCACCAAGGCGUCGACGGGUAUCCGGCCUGAGAGGGUGAGCGGCCACAGUGGAACUGAGACAGAGCACGGGCUCCUACGGGGGGAAGCAGCGGGGGAUAUUGCACAAUGCGUGGAAGCCUGAUGGCGCAACGCCACGUGAGUGAUGACGGCCUUCGGGUUGUAAACCUCUUUUAGCAGGGAAGAAGCGAAAGUGGCGGUACCUGCAGAAAAAGCACCGGGUAACUACCUGCCAGCCGGCGCGGUAA